AGCGAACGCUGGCGGCAGGCCUAACACAUGCAAGUCGAACGAACCUUUCGGGGUUAGUGGCGGACGGGUGAGUAACACGUGGGAACGUGCCUUUAGGUUCGGAAUCACUCAGGGAAACUUGUGCUAAUACCGCUUGUGCUCUUCGCGGGAAAGAUUUGUCGCGUUUAGAGCGGCCGGCGUCUGUUUAGCUAGUUGGUUGAGGUAAUGGCUCACCAAGGCGACGAUCAGUAGCUGGUCUGAGAGGAUGAUCAGCCACAUUGGGACUGAGACACGGACCAAACUCCGACGGGAGGCAGCAGUGGGGAAUCUUGCGGAAGGGGCGAAAGCCCGACGAAGCCAUGCCGGGUGAAUGAUGAAGGGCUUAGGAUUGUAAAAUUCUUUCACCGGGGACGAUAAUGACGGUACCCGGAGAAGAAGCCCCGGCUAACUUCGUG
rnacentral:rRNA from 1 species